AACUGAUACUACCUGCGGGAACCUGCGGAAGGAUCAUUACAGAGUGUUCUACCCCCUUGUAAAAUGGUGGGUUUAACCUCCCGUCCUUUGCCAGACCCCCCCUUUCGUUGGGGGGCCUUUCAAACCUUUCUGCUUCGGCGGGGUUACCCGUCGGAACACCCUCAAAAAUUCUUGGUCAAAACUGUUCGGUCCGAGAAACUUAUGAAAAUUGAAGCAAAACUUUCAACAACGGAUCUCUAG
rnacentral:misc_RNA from 1 species